rnacentral:lncRNA from 1 species
UGUCCCGCGACGAGAGAUUCGAAUGGGAGAACACUCGUAUUUUAUAUCACUUAUUUCCCUUUACACAAAUUCAGGAGGUCACGGGCUGAUGGCUCUCAAAUUCCUUUGCGCGUCAUGACGUGAUGCAAUUCAUAAAAGGCGUCACAUGGUCACAUGCUGUCCUGAAUCGAAAUGAGAACAAGAAAAAAGGCAAAACGACGCCCCACGGCCCAGCAGCGAGAAGGUGGGAGGAGGGUGGAGGUCCCCCGUCGUGUAGCCGCAGUCAGGGGUCCAGGACGUCCUGCCCGUCAAGCCCGUCAAGCACGUCAAGCACGCGCAAUGGGUCAUCUAGCCAUCGUGCCUAAUCAACAACACUAUGUAGACGACCGAAGAGAGGGAAUGGCUAGGAAUGUUCGGCAUAAGGUUGACAAUGUACCCUUAAUAUUCACUUUGAGUAGCAUUAUUAUUAGCAUAUUAUUACCAGUCUCUUUGGUGUUGUCAGUGCGUCCGGAGCGGACGGUUUUUGUUUGUGACCAGUCUUGACGGACUGGGUGUUGUUGUGUAGACCUGAGUACAAGUCCUGACCAGACUUGGAUUGUGUGUACAAGUCCUGAACCGACUUGAAGUUACAUACUUGUUUGUACUUUUGUUAGCAUUGAACCUGUUGAGGUGAGUGUGAAUCUGUUGAUUUUUCAGUGAAUGUGUAUUUCUGUAUUGGAUGAGUGUGAUAUAUUUAUGUAUAUUUUAUGAAUAUGUUUGAAUUUACAUUUAUCUAAAGAAUGAUUUUGUUUUGCUCUCCAGGUUUUCUUGUGAGGUUUUCUUGUGAGGUUUCACUCUGGAUUUACUUUUGGAUUUACUUGUGGAUUUUCUUGUGGAUUUUCUUUGGGAUAUAACUUCAAGAAGAAGUGGAAACUUUAUGUACUUUUCAUGUGGAUAUAUGGUGUAUCUUAGAAGCGGAAACAUUGUGCUGUUUCAAGUGAGACUUUGAGAGGAGCUGUGCAAGAAGAUAUUGAAUACUUUUGAAACUUCAGUUGGAAGAAACUUGUGUUUGAACUGUGGGGUUGGGGAAUUAGGAAUUGUUUUGUGUUGUGUUUCUCAUUUUGAUUUUUAAAUUAUAUUAUAUUUCUAAAGUUUAAAUUGUUGUCUGUGUUUUGAUUUUAUUAAUUGUCUCGUCUGAAAGGCACUGUAGAGUGCAGGUGACAGUCGGCAUUAGGUUCACAAUGUACCCUGAAGAAGAUUUAUGCACAUAAGUCUACAAUGUGAUUGCUAUUGACAGCAGCUGCUUUACACUAUUUCAUUGCAACCACUACAAGCAGACCUGUUGUUUGAUUUUAUAAUAAACAACUGCUAUAGGCUGUAACUGCUGCUGUUUGGUUAUUGUAACGUUUUACGAAAGAGUGUGUUGAAUGUUGUCACAAUAUUUUGUUAAAAUAUUUUUUUUAUUUUAGUUAGGAAGGGGAUAGGGAGAAGUAAUUGGAAAGGGAAGGUGGUAAAACACCUAUUAGUGGGCUGUUAGUGUCAACAGCCUGAGGCGUGCCGCGCCAUACAGGGAUGGCCGGCCGGUCUUUGUCUUAAUUAAGUUCUGUUGAUAGGUUGUUUGUUGAUUAGUUCGAACAAAGGAAAGAGUGUGGUAGUGU